AUUCAGCAAUCUUUUUAUGCAAGCUAUAGCAUUCUUAUAUGGAUUAUAAAAGGCUUAUUCACAACAUGUUCCAAAAUAUUCUUUAUCUUCAGUGGAAUCAUAAGAUUUUUCAGAGUAGAUUACUGUAUAAAAUUUGUCAUAUAGCCAUUAUUUUGCCAGCGUCUUUAUGCCUGAGUUGCGGGACUACAUGUCCCACCUCUUUUAUGUGUUGCACAUGUCCUAAAGCUAGAAUGACAUAUUCAAAAUCCCAGGCUAAUGCACAAUCAAGAAAAACAAAUUGGAGGGAGAUUUUUUAGAAAGAAGGUACCAUAGCAUCGUUGGCAACACAUGCUACUCAAACAGAAGUGAGGAUUCAUUGAUCUUUUGUCUACCACCAGGCCACCAAGUGCUUGAAGACUUUUCAACUCUACAAAGUUGAAAAGUUGACAUUUUUAAUAGGUGAUGGCUGCUACUGUUGUGUAAUGUUGACAUUUUGAAUCUAGUGAGUUUGUUAAAAUAAUUAGCAGCCAACUUUUAUAGGCAUUACAUGCAUAUAAGUGCCCCAUUAGUCAACUAAAUGAGAUAAGUUAAAGCCUCAACAGAAUCCAGCCUAUUAUUUGUGCUCUAGAUCCUCAGAUGGGCAUUUGUUUUAUAUCAAUCGAGGAUUUUCUGGUUAUGGUAAAUUACAUUAUUUUAAUUGUUCUCAAAGGCAAGAUGGUGAGUCAUAAAUGAUCAUACUGUCACUAGGUCUACAGGUCUUUGGUUACCCAACAUGGUCCCUUUUGUUCUUGACAUAGCAGUACUUUCUUAUUGAUGCUUGUUCUGGAACUCAGAAGACUAGACUCCAGUCAAUAUACAUCUUCUGACAGCAUGGGAACUCUCAUUCUGGGGCCUCAUCAUGGACCUUAUCUUGCUGAGAACAUAAUGACAGCCUCUUAUCAACUACUUGGGAUCUGUUCUCAAUCAUCAUCUCUGGUAUGAACAAAGAACGACCGCAAAUGGAAGACCAGUGAGAAGCUGUGUGUGUACUGUGAGGUCUAGCAAGGCAGGAUUGUUCUUAGCACAAUAAUUCCCAAGAAGGAUCUACUAACCAGCUUCAUCCAGCUGCUGCUGCUGAUGCAGAACGAUCUUUCACAAUUCAAAAAGAGUUCUUCAUGCUUCACCAAUGACAUUGAUCAAACAGAUUGUGCUGAUGGCAUUCUUCCUCAAUGAAAGCUGUGGUGGUCUGACCAUGACCAGAAAGCAGAUUGAUCUUCCAUGCUGCACAACAGGUUGCUUAAGGUGCCCUCAUGUCCACCAUUCUCAAGCUUGGGGCACUGUGUUUCUGGCCUCGAGGAGCUUUGGAAGAUCUGGUCCAUGUCUCCCGGCCUAACUGGCUG